GGGGAAAGCAAGUCAGGAGAAAAAGUAGAGAGGAUACAAAGAAAAGGACUGGGACUCAACAGCUACAGCCCAGGGCCCCAGCCAUGAACUUGGAAGGGUAAAAGGAAUAUAUAUAUUUUUCCUCCCCUGCAGCAGUAUUGCCUUAAAAAGAAGAAACAUAUAAUGUAACUGAAUACAAGCUGGCGGCUGUCCUGCUUCUUAUAGUCUUGGUGUAGAAACACAAAACCUACUAGUCUACGUCCAGUGGCAUUCCAACACCCUCCAUUAGACGUCUGCACAUUCUUGGAGAUGGGAAGAGGAGAUGAUUUCUU
rnacentral:lncRNA from 10 species